GUACCUUUCUCGGCCUUUUGGCUAUGAUCAAGUGUAGUUUCUGUUCUUAUUAGUUUAAUAUAUCUAAUAUGCGUCAAUGGUCUGCACGAUAUUAACUCUAUAUGUUUAGGGAAAUGCCUAAUAAGGUAGAUUGCUACUUGGACCUUUGUGCGAUGCCUCGGUGUUGCACUACUGCUUUGGCUUGGCGUACUCUAC
rnacentral:snRNA from 1 species